rnacentral:rRNA from 1 species
GACGAACGCUGGCGGCGUGCUUAACACAUGCAAGUCGAACGGAAAGGCCCUGCUUUUGUGGGGUGCUCGAGUGGCGAACGGGUGAGUAACACGUGAGUAACCUGCCCUUGACUUUGGGAUAACUUCAGGAAACUGGGGCUAAUACCGGAUAGGAGCUCCUGCUGCAUGGUGGGGGUUGGAAAGUUUCGGCGGUUGGGGAUGGACUCGCGGCUUAUCAGCUUGUUGGUGGGGUAGUGGCUUACCAAGGCUUUGACGGGUAGCCGGCCUGAGAGGGUGACCGGCAACAUUGGGACUGAGAUACGGCCCAGACUCCUACGGGAGGCAGCAGUGGGGAAUAUUGCACAAUGGGCGGAAGCCUGAUGCAGCAAAGCCGCGUGCGGGAUGACGGCCUUCGGGUUGUAAACCGCUUUCGCCUGUGACGAAGCGUGAGUGACGGUAAUGGGUAAAGAAGCACCGGCUAACUACGUG